UACGUAGGGGGCUAGCGUUGUCCGGAUUUAUUGGGCGUAAAGAGCGUGUAGGCGGCCAGAUGAGUCUGCUGUGAAAACUCGAGGCUCAACCUCGAGAUGUCGGCGGAAACCAUUUGGCUAGAGUCCGGAAGAGGAAAGUGGAAUUCCUGGUGUAGCGGUGAAAUGCGCAGAUAUCAGGAGGAACACCGGUGGCGAAGGCGGGUCUCUGGGCCGUAACUGACGCUGAGGAGCGAAAGCAUGGGGGAGCGAACAGG
rnacentral:rRNA from 1 species